UUGUUACCCAAAAUUCAUAAGCAGCCUGAGAUAAAUAAAUGUGCUGGAUGCCCCAUAGUCAGGGAAGCAGACAAGAUAAAGGAUGGCCAACAGGCAGAUAAUGAGAGAAGAAAUCCAGGGCUCUUCAAACCUGCAUUGAAACCGAAAGAACCUUUUUAGUCCACCAAAAAGAACUGCGUAUUACCACCUUCAUUCAAUGCAAGAGCCAGCUGAGGUGAAGUCGCCAGAGGCCAAGGACAGAAGCCGGGAGUAAAGCAUCACCACACAGCCUUCAAUCACCAACGGUUUUGAAUUGUUUGAUCAGGCCAUUUCUUAUGGCCUUUUCAUCUAUCAUUUUUAUGCCUCUCUGUUUCUUUUUUCAAGAUUUUGUUUUUGUGUAAUGUUGCUGGGUGUUCUGUCCUCGAUUUCCUUGUCACACAAGUGAAGGAAG
rnacentral:lncRNA from 1 species